GUCGAGCGGAGAUGAGGUGCUUGCACCUUAUCUUAGCGGCGGACGGGUGAGUAAUGCUUAGGAAUCUGCCUAUUAGUGGGGGACAACAUUCCGAAAGGAAUGCUAAUACCGCAUACGUCCUACGGGAGAAAGCAGGGGAUCUUCGGACCUUGCGCUAAUAGAUGAGCCUAAGUCGGAUUAGCUAGUUGGUGGGGUAAAGGCCUACCAAGGCGGAUCUGUAGCGGGUCUGAGAGGAUGAUCCGCCACACUGGGACUGAGACACGGCCCAGACUCCUACGGGAGGCAGCAGUGGGGAAUAUUGGACAAUGGGGGGAACCCUGAUCCAGCCAUGCCGCGUGUGUGAAGAAGGCCUUAUGGUUGUAAAGCACUUUAAGCGAGGAGGAGGCUACUGAGACUAAUACUCUUGGAUAGUGGACGUUACUCGCAGAAUAAGCACCGGCUAACUCUGUGCCAGCAGCCGCGGUAAUACAGAGGGUGCGAGCGUUAAUCGGAUUUACUGGGCGUAAAGCGUGCGUAGGCGGCUUUUUAAGUCGGAUGUGAAAUCCCCGAGCUUAACUUGGGAAUUGCAUUCGAUACUGGGAAGCUAGAGUAUGGGAGAGGAUGGUAGAAUUCCAGGUGUAGCGGUGAAAUGCGUAGAGAUCUGGAGGAAUACCGAUGGCGAAGGCAGCCAUCUGGCCUAAUACUGACGCUGAGGUACGAAAGCAUGGGGAGCAAACAGGAUUAGAUACCCUGGUAGUCCAUGCCGUAAACGAUGUCUACUAGCCGUUGGGGCCUUUGAGGCUUUAGUGGCGCAGCUAACGCGAUAAGUAGACCGCCUGGGGAGUACGGUCGCAAGACUAAAACUCAAAUGAAUUGACGGGGGCCCGCACAAGCGGUGGAGCAUGUGGUUUAAUUCGAUGC
rnacentral:rRNA from 1 species